AACGAACGUUGGCGGCAUGCUUAACACAUGCAAGUCGUACGAGAAAGCCCUUCGGGGUGAGUAGAGUGGCGAACGGGUGAGUAACGCAUGGGAACGUACCCACGAGUCUGGGAUAACCACUGGAAACGGUGGCUAAUACCGGAUAUUUUCUGAGGAAAAAAGAUGGCCUCUGUAUAUGCUAUCGCUUGUGGAUCGGCCCAUGUCCCAUUAGCUUGUUGGUGAGGUAAAGGCUCACCAAGGCUUCGAUGGGUAGCUGGUUUGAGAGGAUGAUCAGCCACACUGGAACUGAGACACGGUCCAG
rnacentral:rRNA from 1 species